CGGACCCCUGGAGGUGAAGAGUUGGCCACCCCGGAUGGAGUUUGUGUCGAGGGCUGAUUAGAGAGAUAUAGGACAUAGUAUGUUGGGACUAUAAGGAACUCGGAUCAUGACGCGUUAUAUUCUAAAUUUACCAUCUGUGACAUUUAUUUACUGGCCAUUGCCAAGGUGGACGGGCCACCUUUACUUAACCCGGAAAAGGAGCAUGUAUACUUGUAUAUAUGUUCGAUAAAUAGCCAAAUGCCUCGUCAUCUAAUUAGUGACGCGCAUGAAUGGAUGAACGAGAUUCCCACUGUCCCUACCUACUAUCCAGCGAAACCACAGCCAAGGGAACGGGCUUGGCGGAAUCAGCGGGGAAAGAAGACCCUGUUGAGCUUGACUCUAGUCUGGCGCUGUGAAGAGACAUGAGAGGUGUAGAAUAAGUGGG
rnacentral:ncRNA from 1 species